UACAGAGGUCCCAAGCGUUGUUCGGAUUCACUGGGCGUAAAGGGUGCGUAGGUGGCCAGGUAAGUCUGAUGUGAAAUCUCGGAGCUCAACUCCGAAACUGCAUUGGAUACUAUCUGGCUGGAGGGUCGGAGGGGGGACUGGAAUUCUCGGUGUAGCAGUGAAAUGCGUAGAUAUCGAGAGGAACACCAGUGGCGAAGGCGAGUCCCUGGACGACUCCUGACACUGAGGCACGAAAGCUAGGGGAGCAAACGGG
rnacentral:rRNA from 1 species